rnacentral:rRNA from 1 species
UACGGGGGGGCAAGCGUUGUUCGGAAUUACUGGGCGUAAAGGGCUCGUAGGCGGCCAACUAAGUCAGACGUGAAAUCCCUCGGCUUAACCGGGGAACUGCGUCUGAUACUGGAUGGCUUGAGUUUGGGAGAGGGACGCGGAAUUCCAGGUGUAGCGGUGAAAUGCGUAGAUAUCUGGAGGAACACCGGUGGCGAAGGCGGCGUUCUGGACUGCAACUGACACUGAGGAACGAAAGCCAGGGGAGCAAACGGG